rnacentral:lncRNA from 1 species
CCAUGUGUGGGGGCAGAAACUACUUCCACUCUUACCUUCCAUACUGCAUAACUGCCAGCUCAACAAUCACUGUAUGUCAUAAAAACACAGAGAAAUUGUUCACAAUGAUGGAAUGACAACCCGUCAUAACCAAUAGACAACUUCUGCCUCACACUUAAGGCCCCAAAGGAACAAGAAUAAAAGCAAUACUUAGAUUAUCAGGAACUACAAUGCCAAUGAAGGAAUGACAACCAUCAUUGUUGUCAACAACAUGUCAACAACAUCAACAAAUAGAAAGCAUUCCUCCAUUCAUCACUCCUUCUGGGAAGAAGUAGACUAAGAGGUAAGAAGCAACUAAUUUUUCAUGGGAUUUGAAACUAAGUAGGUGAAUCUGAAGUCUGCGCUGCUUCCAUUCCAUCCCAUUGUCUCUUCUGAGGGAGAAAGCUUCUAAGGGAGAAAGCCUUUGGGGCUUGGAACAAAAGAAGCCAGAGUCUUUAGAGUACACACUCCGUACUUCCAUUAAAUAAAUUUCAACAACAGGUCAAAGCAUGUAUCUUGCAACCUUCUUUGAAUAAGGCUCAGUGCAAAGCUGGGGCCAGUGACCUUGACCUUCCUUCAUCCCUAUCUAUCAAGGAUUUUUUGUGAGCAUAAGAGGCAGCAACUUUACUUGUAUUUCAUUUCAUAGCUUAAUUAUAUCUACAUGCAAUUAGAAAACAUAUGGUAAGGCAUAUUUGUGAAGGUCACAAAAUCUAGUAGAGCUGGAAUGCCAGGAUUUGAUUCCAACUUCUGCCACUUACUAACUGCGGAACCUUAGGCAAGUCACUGAACCCCUAAGUUUCCUCAGCUGUAAAACAAUAAUAAACAGAGUCUACAGG